rnacentral:rRNA from 1 species
UGAGGUACUGGAAGGUCCUCAGGCCGAAAGGGGCUCUGCCCGCCCGAGGAUGGGCCGGCGGCCGAUUAGGUAGUUGGUGGGGUAACGGCCCACCAAGCCGAAGAUCGGUACGGGCCAUGAGAGUGGGAGCCCGGAGAUGGACACUGAGACACGGGUCCAGGCCCUACGGGGCGCAGCAGGCGCGAAACCUCCGCAAUGCGGGCAACCGCGACGGGGGGACCCCCAGUGCCGUGGCAACGCCACGGCUUUUCCGGAGUGUAAAAAGCUCCGGGAAUAAGGGCUGGGCAAGGCCGGUGGCAGCCGCCGCGGUAAUACCGGCGGCCCGAGUGGUGGCCGCUAUUAUUGGGCCUAAAGCGUCCGUAGCCGGGCCCGUAAGUCCCUGGCGAAAUCCCACGGCUCAACCGUGGGGCUUGCUGGGGAUACUGCGGGCCUUGGGACCGGGAGAGGCCGGGGGUACCCCUGGGGUAGGGGUGAAAUCCUAUAAUCCCAGGGGGACCGCCAGUGGCGAAGGCGCCCGGCUGGAACGGGUCCGACGGUGAGGGACGAAGGCCAGGGGAGCGAACCGGAUUAGAUACCCGGGUAGUCCUGGCUGUAAAGGAUGCGGGCUAGGUGUCGGGCGAGCUUCGAGCUCGCCCGGUGCCGAAGGGAAGCCG